AUUGAACGCUGGUGGCAGGCUUAACACAUGCAAGUCGAGCGGGGUGAGGUGCUUCGGUACUGAUCCUAGCGGCGGACGGGUGAGUAAUGCUUAGGAAUCUGCCAUUUAGUGGGGGACAACAUUCCGAAAGGGAUGCUAAUACCGCAUACGUCCUACGGGAGAAAGCAGGGGAUCUUCGGACCUUGCGCUAAAUGAUGAGCCUAAGUCGGAUUAGCUAGUUGGUGGGGUAAAGGCCUACCAAGGCGACGAUCUGUAGCGGGUCUGAGAGGAUGAUCCGCCACACUGGGACUGAGACACGGCCCAGACUCCUACGGGAGGCAGCAGUGGGGAAUAUUGGACAAUGGGCGGAAGCCUGAUCCAGCCAUGCCGCGUGUGUGAAGAAGGCCUUUUGGUUGUAAAGCACUUUAAGCGAGGAGGAGGCUACCUGGAUUAAUACUCUAGGAUAGUGGACGUUACUCGCAGAAUAAGCACCGGCUAACUCUGUGCCAGCCGCCGCAGUAAGAC
rnacentral:rRNA from 1 species